AAGAGAUUAGCUCAGUGGAAGAGCAAUCGUUUUACACGCGAUAUUGCAAGGGUUCAAUUCCUUUAUCUCUUA
rnacentral:tRNA from 1 species